UCCCCGCCGGGCCCUUAUGCAUGCACUGGAGAAAUGGCUAGCUUGUCCUGCUGCUGUGACUCACCAUGAAGGCGGCAGCUGAAACCAUUCCAAACCAAGCAAUGAUUUGACGUAAAUCACAAAUUACUUGAGCCAGCCUGACCAUCUCCCAGCUGAACGAAAGCAUGCCGCAUCAAUCCAGUCUCGUAUGGUUAGAUGUCGAGUUCAGGCUGAAAGCAUUUGUGAGGUGGGGUAUUAAUCAACUCGACGGGGUAUGUAAGCCAUAGGAGACAAGAUCAGAUAGUUGGUCCAACCUCAUCCAUUUUUCCAUCCUUCUGAAUCCAUAAGGCCAGGGCUAUAUAAGCAUCAGGAUAUACCCUGCAAUUUACACCACUCAUAUCUUUCAAUCCAAAAUCCAACUCAGUGACCUACAAGCAAAACGCCAGUGGAAAAGUCAAAGCAACAUCUAUAAAUCCAAUCGACAAACCUGUGCGCAAAGAUGGAUUGCCCAAAGUGCAAGAAAGGAAAUGUGUCGGGGGCGGACACAUGCGAGUAUUGCGGAGCAGAGCUCCCCAAGGUCGUUUGAUUCCGACCGAGAACAAAUGCUCAUUUGCUUUUCAAGAUCCCUCCCAAAUAAGUCAGGAAAUGGUUUGGGUUACGGUCAUUAGCCUGGGUCUCCAAUAUUUUCUCAGUUAGCAUGGAAGAAUCAUCAUUUCUGUCUUCGUGCAACCCACUAUGGGGACCUCUCGUAAAUGCAUUAUUUGCCACAUGUGUAUUUAGGACCUAUCAUAGGCUCGUGCAUUAUCAAACUCUUAAUGCCUGCUGCUGAAGCUUGGUUAUUCUUAUAUUCAAUUUCACUUAGCUAUCUGUCGCUCUAUCAUACAUAGCUCAAGUCCUCAGCCGGGCUUCAUUCCAUGUCUUCAGAACUAUACUCCUGGUCCCGCAGAGGUGGAAUGUCUCAAAAGAUCGAUCAGUAGAGAAUAUUCACUUUUUAGGUCGAGCACGCCUCCACUUCAUGUACCAAGCUGAAGCUUGAGGGUAUCCUCUACUCUCGAGCUCCAACCUCAGCCGUUUUCUCCACUCGAAUUCUUCGAUUCCUGCGAUGGGAGGGGAAAAGUCGAGACCGGGCGCAACCGACGGUUUUGUUGCAAUCCAGAAGCGAGGGUAGAAACCAGCAGCCUCCCAAUCAAGAAUCCCUGUGAUAGAUCCAUCUUUGGACACCAUAAUAUUUCCCGGACCAAGAUCUGCAUGGUAUAGAUAAAAAUCCUUUCCGAUUUUGGGACAUAGGUUGGAGUCUAGGACAGUAAAAUAUUCCAAACUCUCAGUCGAUGUGAGAGGUCCCACAAAACCAUCUUUUGCGACUGCGAGGAACCUUUCAGGCAAGGCCUUUCCGGAUACACUCUGAAGUUUUGCUGAAGUCUUCAAAGCAAGUAGGUCACAGAUGCUUGCAAUUUCCUUGAGGAUCAAGUCACGCUGCAAGGAAG
rnacentral:sRNA from 1 species